UAAUUCCCAACCAAAUUAAAUUAAAGCUAGAAGAACACUUUCGGAAUCAGAUUACAAGGUGAGAAAGGCAAAACCAACACUAUUAGUUUCAAAUUAAAUCCAAAACAAGAAGUAUUUUGAGUCCCAAUAAGCUGAGCAGACCGACCAAAGUCUAUCAAAUGAAGUGCUGUAGCUAAUAAUUUCAAAAUACCAACAAAUCUAAACAUGACGUUGGAUUUCAAAUACAUAUCAAUUUUAGAAGAUUAAGUGACCAUUUCAAAUAUUGUACCAAUUGUUAUCAUUAUUUUGCCAAUGGCGAGACUAAGAGAACAAAUACACAUACCUCAAAAAGAACGAAGGAGAAACUCAGUUGAUCAGCAGCAUGACAACAAACAACACACAAAAGCUAUGAACUCGAUUUCCACAUCUUGCACAAACCAGAAAAAAGAAGAGUUGGGUUUUGAAAUCAAUUUUUCUUCAAUAUUCCUUUAGAAUUUCAGAUUUUUCUUUUGUUUGUUUUCGUUCAAGCUUUAGCGACUUUUCAUCUUCAUUUUCAAAUAGGGGUGUGUGCGAAGAAGAAGGGAGGCAGUGGGGUGGUCCGGCGUUGGUUUUGGCGUAGGAUUUUGAGAAAAAGUCUAGGAAGUAGGAAGGAGUUGUUGUGCUCCAACCCAAGCAAGCGCCGUUUUUAGCCUUUUUCUGGAGGGAGCUCUCGGCUCUCGCUAUCCUUUGUGUUCUAGCAGCUAGGAGAAAAAGUCAGAGGACUUUCAAUGGAGGAAAAUGGUAAGGUCUGUCGUUAUUUUGAGAGAAAAUCCUAUAGGGUACGUCGUUUCUUCUUGUUAAGGGUCUUAGGAUAUGAUACAUCUGUUUUUAGGUUUCCUAAUUGUGUUUCUAAUGCAG
rnacentral:lncRNA from 1 species